GGCGCAAGCCUGAUGCAGCGACGCCGCGUGAGGGAUGACGGCCUUCGGGUUGUAAACCUCUUUCAGCAGGGACGAAGCGCAAGUGACGGUACCUGCAGAAGAAGCACCGGCCAACUACGUGCCAGCAGCCGCGGUAAUACGUAGGGUGCGAGCGUUGUCCGGAAUUACUGGGCGUAAAGAGCUCGUAGGCGGUUUGUCGCGUCGUCUGUGAAAACCCGCAGCUCAACUGCGGGCUUGCAGGCGAUACGGGCAGACUCGAGUACUGCAGGGGAGACUGGAAUUCCUGGUGUAGCGGUGAAAUGCGCAGAUAUCAGGAGGAACACCGGUGGCGAAGGCGGGUCUCUGGGCAGUAACUGACGCUGAGGAGCGAAAGCGUGGGUAGCGAACAGGAUUAGAUACCCUGGUAGUCCACGCCGUAAACGGUGGGCGCUAGGUGUGGGUUUCCUUCCACGGGAUCCGUGCCGUAGCCAACGCAUUAAGCGCCCCGCCUGGG
rnacentral:rRNA from 1 species